rnacentral:rRNA from 1 species
ACGGGAGGCAGCAGUGAGGAAUAUUGGUCAAUGGACGAGAGUCUGAACCAGCCAAGUAGCGUGCAGGAUGACGGCCCUAUGGGUUGUAAACUGCUUUUGUACGGGAAUAAAGUGACCUACGUGUAGGUUUUUGCAUGUACCGUAAGAAUAAGGACCGGCUAAUUCCGUGCCAGCAGCCGCGGUAAUACGGAAGGUCCGGGCGUUAUCCGGAUUUAUUGGGUUUAAAGGGUGCGUAGGCGGCCCCUUAAGUCGGCGGUGAAAUUUCCGGGCUCAACCCGGUCACUGCCGUCGAAACUGGGGGGCUUGAGUGCGUUUGGGGUGGCUGGAAUGUGCGGUGUAGCGGUGAAAUGCAUAGAUAUCGCACAGAACGCCGAUCGCGGAGGCAGGUCACCAAGCCGCAACUGACGCUGAGGCACGAAAGCGCGGGGAUCGAACAGGAUUAGAUACCCUGGUA